rnacentral:lncRNA from 1 species
UGCAUUAUUUUCAAGUUCUACUACAACGGAGAUAUAUGAACAUACUGAUAUGCCUUGACUGUGAAUAAGACACCAGGGUUGGGGUACCCCCCUUUUUUCUGUUAUAUCAAUACAAAUUUGUUUCUAAAACAAUCUUAUCGAAAACAAAAUCCUACUUUUGGGGACAGGUUUCACGUGCCUGUCCUUUUCUCUAAUUUUCUAUGAAUUAAAAAUCUCCGAACAAUUUAAAUGAAGAAUCGUGCAUAAUCACUAUGGGGACCUUCCUUUAACCAAACUUCACAGAAACAACAAAUUCAGGAUCUUUUGGAUCAUAGAUAAAGCCAAAAAUGAUUGGCCCGACUAUUUACCUUACAUGAAAUUCACGCCCCGACCCCACCUUCGGUUGCCAAAACUAUAUUGAUUCCUGUAUUUAACGAUUUUGUAAAGCAAAAAAUAAUCAAAAUAUUGUUCGACUCGCUACGCUCGGCGGUAUGUAAAGGUUGUUCGAAAUACGCCCACUUUGAAAUAAACUGAAUCCGUCUGUCCGUAUAUAUUGUCAAAAUAUAUUGACCAACGUCAGUGUACGAUCAUCAUAACACAAUGGCGACAGUACAGACUCGGUUUUUUUU